GACGAACGCUGGCGGCGCGCUUAACACAUGCAAGUCGAACGGAAAGGCCCUGCUUUUGUGGGGUGCUCGAGUGGCGAACGGGUGAGUAACACGUGAGUAACCUGCCCUUGACUUUGGGAUAACUUCAGGAAACUGGGGCUAAUACCGGAUAGGAGCUCCUGCUGCAUGGUGGGGGUUGGAAAGUUUCGGCGGUUGGGGAUGGACUCGCGGCUUAUCAGCUUGUUGGUGGGGUAGUGGCUUACCAAGGCUUUGACGGGUAGCCGGCCUGAGAGGGUGACCGGCCACAUUGGGACUGAGAUACGGCCCAGACUCCUACGGGAGGCAGCAGUGGGGAAUAUUGCACAAUGGGUGGAAGCCUGAUGCAGCAACGCCGCGUGCGGGAUGACGGCCUUCGGGUUGUAAACCGCUUUCGCCUGUGACGAAGCGUGAGUGACGGUAAUGGGUAAAGAAGCACCGGCUAACUACGUG
rnacentral:rRNA from 1 species